UUUUCCCAUAGUGCUCUGGAAGAGAGGAGGAGAGGAACAAGGCAGGGGAGAAAGGCUCCCUGUGUUGGAGGGCUUCUUUGUGUCCAGUUAGCCCAGGACGACAUAGCCCACCUUGCACAGGGGCCUGGGUUUUGCCUGGGCCGGGUGUCCUGAGCAGCUGGAAGGGCUCCAGGGCACCCAUCUCCUUGGUGAGAGGCAGGUACCCUGCGGUGAUGGCCAGGCUGCUGAUCAGGACCUGCUGCUCCAAAACUCUUUCUCAGGUUCCCAGAUGCCCCCUUGGGUUGGUGGCUGCCCGAGCCUGGAGCCAUGGGCCCCUCACUGCCUACAUGCCCGAAGCCAUCACCUUCUCCAGACCCAAGGACCACCAAGACUUGUACAAGGUUUCAGUGGAUCAAGGGGAUGCCUUCUGGGGAGCACUAGGAAGGAGCCGACUCACCUGGAUCACUCCCUUCCACUCUGUCCAGGACUGCGAUCUGCACCAGGGCAGGGUCUCCUGGUUCCUGGGUGGGCAGCUGAACGUGGCAGUGAAUUGCCUGGACCGUCACGUCCAUGCAGCCCCAGACAAAGUGGCCUUAAUCUGGGAGAAGGAUGAACCAGGAGAGGAAGUACGGGUGACAUACAGGGAACUGCUAGAGCUGACGUGUCGCCUGGGAAACACCUUGAAACGCCAAGGGGUGAAACGGGGUGACAGGGUUACAAUCUACAUGCCCCCAUGCCCACUGGCAGUGGCUAGCAUGCUGGCCUGUGCCCGCAUCGGGGCUGUGCAUGCUGUGGUGUUCGCUGGGUUCAGUGCAGAGUCCCUUGCGGACAGGAUCCGGGAUGCCCAGUCAGAGAUAGUGAUUACAGUGAACCAGGGGCUGAGAGGUGGCAAGGUUAUUGAACUAAAGAAGACAGUGGACCAGGCUGUGAAGCAGUGCCCCGGAGUGAAACGGGUUCUAGUUUCCAUGAGGACCACCAGCAAGGUUCCCAUGACAGCCCUAGAUGUGCCACUGGAGGAGGAGAUGAUGAAAGAGGAUGCAUGCUGUGAACCUGCUGUCAUGGACAGUGAAGACAUGUUGUUUCUUCUCUACACAUCAGGCAGUACUGGCAAACCCAAGGGCUUGGUUCAUUCCCAAGCUGGUUAUUUGCUGUUUGCAGCUCUCACACACAAGUACGUGUUCGACUACCAGGACAGGGACAUCUUUGGCUGUGUGGCAGACAUUGGCUGGAUCACGGGGCAUACCUAUGUGGUCUACGGCCCUCUCUGCAAUGGUGGCACCACAGUCCUUUUUGAGAGCACUCCUGUCCAUCCUAACCCUGGCCGCUACUGGGAAACAGUAGAGAGGUUAAGAAUUAACCAGUUCUAUGGGGCGCCCACUGCCAUCCGCCUGCUCCUGCGAUACGGUGAUGAAUGGGUGAAGAAGUAUGACCGCUCUUCUCUCAAAGUGCUUGGCUCAGUGGGGGAACCCAUCAACAAGGAGGCAUGGGAAUGGUACUUCCAUGUGGUUGGCGAGACACGAUGCCCAGUAGUGGACACAUGGUGGCAAACCGAAACAGGAGGCAUCUGUAUCUCACCCCGUCCUUCUAAUCCCGGAGCAGAAAUCCUUCCAGGCAUGGCUAUGAGACCCUUUUUUGGGAUAAGCCCCACCCUCUUAGAUGACAAGGGAAAUGUCCUUCUAGAAAACAACAUCUCUGGAGCCCUUUGCAUCUCACAAGCCUGGCCAGGUAUGGCACGAACCAUUUACAAUGACCACAAGAGGUUUUUGGAAACCUAUCUGACUCCUUAUCCAGGUUUUUUCUUCACUGGGGACGGUGCGUAUCGUACCAGGAAGGGCUACUACCAGCUAACAGGACGGCUGGAUGACAUAAUUAACAUCAGUGGACACCGGCUGGGCACUGCAGAGGUGGAGGAUGUUGUGAAUCAUCAUGUGGCAGUGGCAGAGUCUGCCGUCAUCGGCUACCCACACGAGAUCAAGGGAGAAGGAGCCUACGUGUUUGUUGUGCUGAAGAAGGACAGUGGCUACACACAGGAGACUCUUGCUGCUGAGCUACACGAGCUCAUCUCCAAGAAGAUCGCUAAGUACGCAGCUCCAGAUUACGUUCAGGUCACACACCGGCUGCCCAAGACACGCUCGGGUAAGAUUAUGCGUCGGGUGCUACGGAAAAUCGUGGAGGACAAGGCCAGUGAGCUUGGGGACCUGACCACACUGGAUGACCAUGAAGCCGUGCAGCAGAUCAUAGAGGGACACAAGCACCUUGUGGAGGGGCAGAAGAGCUACUAGCUUGGCUCUGCCAGCAGCCACCUCCUCUACCUUCACUGCAAAACUAGGGAAACAUCCAGAAUUUCCACUAAGCAAGUGGGAGUAACUGCCAGCCACUGCCUCAUCCCCCCAGUGAGAAAGCCGAGACAUGACCUUCUCAAGACAAGCCACGUGCCACAGCACCAAGCUGAGCAGCAGCCAGUGCACCGUUCCAGCACACCACAUGUGGAGCUGCUAGGAUGGCCUGCAGCACCUUCCUGACUGUUAAGGGUUCCUUUUGCCCAGACAGCACUGAGCUGUGAUGCAGGCUUCAGGGGAAAGAGAGGUACUUACCUGUGGCUGCCUGCUGCUGACACUGGCUGCUCUGUUCACCCACAUCCACUCUGGCCCUCAUGGCAAGUCCUCCAACAGCCCACCCAGAAGAGACUAAGGAAUUGGCUCCAUCAGCUAAUCACAGAUGCUUCUGUGAUCUCUCAGGACUGUUUCUCCACUGGUUCUUGUCUUCUUUUGCCAUGUCAUGGCUAAAUUUCCCAUAUUGCUUCCACGACCCUACAGAUGUUUGUGAGCUUCAGAUAUGGCAGCUGCCACCACAUCCCCAGCAUAAACGCUUCUUUACAUAGCAAUGGAAGGACACCUGCCAUUGGACAGGUGCCAUUGGACCUGGACGAAGAACAUUAAUCACUAAUUCCCUAAGAAGAGUAUGUCUUAUGUACAGUUCUUGAUUUACCAUCCUCCACACAAAUAAUGAAAUGUUUUCACAACUGAAUCCUCUGUGCGCAAUGCUGCUAAAAUAAUGGCCAAGGUGAAGCAUGCUCCUAGCAAACAAGAGAUUUCAUGAGCUGUCUCUGUUCCAGCUUCUCUUUACACCAGAGGCCCUGCCUUCCCUCCUCCCCUUUUCUUUAGUAGUCAGUCACUCACCCGCAUAUUUUGGUUGGAGGUAGAAGAGCCGUGCAAAUGAGAGUCUCUGCAUCUCCCCUGGAGACAGGAUGUCAUACCUGCAGCAGGGUCAAGAUUCAAUACCUCCCACAAGAAACAGAACUUGUUUGCUGAAAAUUAUAUGGCUUCUGAUAUCAGAGACAUCAACAAGCAACUGUCUCUAUGUCCCUUGUGCCCCUCGCCAUGCUGCUUAGAAGUGUUCCCCACUCAAAGAAAUCAGCCAAAUUCAUGCAGAUAGUGAGCGCCCUUACCAGUUCCAGUCCACCUGCUCAUCCAGUCCUCCAGCCCUUGCCAGCAAAUCAGUCUGCAAAGAGCACAGCAGACUUGUGAACACAGUCACCAACCCUGUCAGCCCAAGGCUCUGAGCUGACAGUCAGACUUUCCUGCUAGUCUCGCUUUCCCCACUUGAGCUGAAGUUGCUCCUUAUCCCUCCUCCUGUCCCAUAGACAGUCGUGCCCCAGCUACAAUGUCCCCACAUAAGUCCAGCACACAGUCAUGCUGUGCUGCCACAAAAAAAUCAUCCCUUCUUCCUUCACUGGCAGCACCAGGAAAGAAGGCAGCAGCACUACCAGUGACUCACCAGCCCAGCCAGCUCCAGGAAUCGCACAAUUCUUUCAUCAUCUGCAGACCCUGGGGAGAAAGCUGCAAAGCAUAAGCAAGGGCAAUGUGUGCUGAAGCCACAGCUGCCCAGAGGAGUCGGUGGGACAUUCAGUGUAGCUGACCCGAUCCCUUAAUUAUACCAGGUCCUGAGCUUUGGCACAGAUAGCCUCAAAGACUGACCUUUCCUUAAAAAUGUUAACCAUGCCUGUGAGCAGCAUGCCAGUAGGUAGCUGGGUUCCACAGAUACACCUGACAUUUGGGUCAGUCCAUGGCCACAGAUGGACACAGCCAGAACACAAGGAUCCAGGCUUCAAUUGCCAAGGCCCUGCCUACCAGUUUUGCUCUUACAGCUGAGAUUGCACACUGCAGGUGGUGGAGUCAGGGAAACAGGGCUCAGGUAAUAGCCAGCAAAAGGACGCUAUGUGGGAUGAGAAAAACCUCAGGGUGAAUCAGCUGUGGAGCAGAACAUACAUUUGAGCUGGUACAGUCAACAUCUAUGGAACCUGAGUAGAAGGGCUGUGCAUCUGCCAUGGACCUCUACGAAGCUGCUGAACAGCCUCAACAGUAGCUGGUGGCUGUAGCUACUCUCAGCAAGAUUGUGACUCCCAAGUGUUUGAAAGCAGCAGAUAACACUGCUGGACAUCUCCAAGCUACAGCAGACCUCAUGUGGUCUGACUUGGGAAGAGGGUAAGGAAGAAAAAAGGAUCUAUGUAUUCUGACCUCAAGAGAAUGCAAAGCCCUGGGAUAUCAUUUGAAAAAGAGAAACAGUGAAAGAUGAAGGUGAAUGGAAAAUGAGACAAACAUGGCUUGCCCAAAGUCAGACUGUGCCAGACAUAUCAGAUGUAUCCCAACAGCAACAUGUAUCAUGUCUAGCACAGCAGGUAGAGCAUGGUCAGCUUGUUCUCAUUGUACUAAGAGAGUAAAUUCUUAUCAAGUGAAUAUGUUCCCUCCCAGAAGGGAGGGUACACAGAGCUGACCUUAACGUACACUAACGUAAAUCUUGUAGGGAAAAGCAGAGCAACAAAAACAAAACAGAUGAGUGUUCUUGAUGGGCCAUGGUAGGGGAGAAGCUACACUGAGUACAGGACAGUGAGCCGACACCACGGGGUUGGUUAAUUGCUCUAAUGAAUUUCCACAUACCUGAAACUGGAUAGAUCUCCUUCAGGGGAUAGAUCACCUGUUUAACAGAGCAAAAGAAACCAUGUUGAGGGAGCUGGACGCAGUCCUUCAGAUAUGCAAAGGAGGUGGAAUGAACUCAGGCACAAGGGAAAGAGCAGCCACAGGCAUCCUCCCUCUUGCAGGCCUAUCCGCACCAUAUAGGUUCACAGGGCAUGACCACAGCUGGGAGCAGAGCUGAGGCCAGAGUAGAGACAGUCCCUGGGCUCACCUGCUCACGCAGGCUUCCGUCGGUGAAGAAGGGCCGCUGUGGUAGGAAUACCACUCCCCGGGGGCCAAAGCAGGUCAGCAUCUUGAUGCUCCCUGCACAGAGACACACUCAGUCAAGCCUGCAAUACCAGCAACUCCCCACUGCCCCCUGUGUAGUCCUGUCCCAUGAAGUAGCCAACAAAUCCCCACAAAAGUGUGUUUGCAACACAGGACAAAACAAUGAGAGCCACAGAAUGUGAUAGACGGCUGGCUCCAAUCGGUGGAUCAGUGACACAUUCACCAUCACAAGGUGGCACUGGCCUCACAAGACCACCUUCCAAACUCAGAGCAGCCUUGGUUGAGAAAGAGAAGGCUGCAGCAUGUAGCAGUCCUUACCCCGUGUGCUCUCCCAGAGUCCUCCAAGGACCCUCAGGAGAGAUGUCUUCCCUGUACCAGUGUUUCCCACAAUCAUCACACUGUUUCCUUGUGAGAUCCUGAGGCUCAAGUCCUUGAUGAGCAGCUUGCCAGAGGAUGGCACCGAAAGUGUCACUUGGUCCAGAAGGAAAGCUGUGUCCCUUGGCACUGGGUCCUCCCCAAAAUGGCUGCUGGGCCACCACCAAGACAAAGAAGGAGAGAUCUGGGGGUAAGUGACCACGCUGAGAUUGUCAAAAAUCAGGCACCUUAGACCUCCUGUGUCUCUGUGACAGCAGCCUUGCCCCACACACCCCAGGAACGACAAAUCACAGUGAGCACUGCCUACUCCAACCGUGUGCAACAGAUUCUGAUACCAGGGGCCACCUCCAUCCCACAGCAGCCUCACACUCUGGCAUGUAAGCUGUAAGCCAGCCAGUUGCUGAGAGGAGACUCACCCGUCCAAAUCCCAGCUCGUUUUGGCUUCCGAGUAGUUACCAUUUUUUUUUCUGCCAAGGCUCAGCAAGGUCUCCUGCAGUUCACCAAUCCUAGACAAACAAGAGGUUGCAUGAAUGCUAUGGACAACUCCAGCAGCCUCCUCACAAUAUCCAAACAUGCCCAUGUUUGCACACAAGCAAUUUUUUCUCAUUUUUUUAGUACGGACAUGGGCAGAGUCUUGUCCUGCACCUCCCUUUCUCCCAGAGAUGUGCUGACAGAGAAGCUCACCUGUGUGUGUAGCCAGCUACAUCGGUCACAGUGCUGGAGAGAUCUAUGAGCUGGCUGAAGCAGCCAAUGAGGUAGAUGGAAACAAAAGCAUUCUGGGGAGAAAUCACACGCCAGAGUAAGGGUCAGUGCUGAGCUGGGGUGCUGUCUCUUACUUCAAGACUGCAAGGAGGCAGCCAAGGAGUCCACAUAUUUGGCCAUGUCAGCUGACUUUGCAAGAUCAAUGAGAGGUUGUGAAGUCACCCAUGGUGGUGGGAGUGAAGGAGAAGAUGACCACAGUUGAAAGGAACAGGGCUUCCCUGCUCAGUGCAGCAGUUCUUGCCAGGUGGACACAUGUCCUGCCACCCAGGGAUGGUAUUUGCAGAGUGCCUGCUGGCCAGCCCAGGGUCCAGCACACUUGCCCUACGUCACGUAGAUCCAUGCCACCAGCACCGUAUAUGGCUCAGAAGAGGGUGUUUCAGCCGGCAGUGUUCACUUAGCUAUUUUUAGCUCUGCAUUCUCUAUCAGAAGCCAGUUUUGAGUAUCUGGUAAAGAGUCAGGUCAGGAAGGCAAAUGCAAGCCAGCUCAGCCUCACUGGUGGCUGUGGUCACCACGGGCAGACGUGCAGCACUGAGCACAAUGCCCCCACACUGCUGAAAGCCAGAGACUUUCUGAUCUCGCUAUUUUUUAGACACUCAGGUCUGAGCUAAUAAACACUUAUGUAGAUGUGACCUUGACAGGUUAAUCAUAUACCAGCUGGCUACAAGCUCCUAUUUCCAUGACACCAUGGCUAGGGACAGUCUAACCUGAAGGUCAAGUGCUGCAUGACUAUCCAGCCCCAGGGCCACCAGCCCCAUAUGAAACCUCCAUCCUCAGUGCCUGCUCACCAUCCACAAUGGGAUAUAACCCUUAACUCACCUUGCUGACGAGGGCACUGAGCUCUGUUGGACUCAGGUCACUGUAGACCCCAGAAAAAAUGGGAAUGGCAAUGACCACGUAGCUCAGGAUGCUACCCAGAUAGUCAAAGGUGUUGAUCCCAACUGGGCAGAAACACAUUGAGAGAAGAUAAGAGUUAGAGUGGGAACCUCUGCCCCAGUCAGGCUCAAAUGUGGCCCAUGAGCCCAGCCAGAGGAAUACGCAUGUUUUCGUCUCAGCCCUUUAUGAUGCACCAGAGCAGAACUCAUUUCACAGGACUGCACAAGCACUAGGGUGAAAAUUCAUUUGCCAAGCAAAGAGCACUUUGGGGCAGACUCCUGAACAGAGAAACCUCCAGACAUACAGCUCAGGAACCACCAUGGGGCAAAAGUCACUUUGCCUGCUUGUUUCUAUGUUUCAGGGGUCUGGCUGACUCACAGUAAACAGGAGGGAUUGCAAAAAGGAAGCUCUGGGUUGAGAUGGUUUUCCAUGAAGUGUAUCUUGGAGCACACAACAGGCAGAAAGACUUAAGACCCCAAAUUCCCACAGACACCUCUGUUCAGGGCUCUCCCUCCCACACAUUGCUCAGAAGCUCACUGUGCUUCUGAGAUGAGGAAGAGCUGUCUUUAUAGUGGUCAUUUAAAGCCAAAACCUGGACUCAUUGACAGUGGGAGAAGGGAGAUUUUCAGAGGACAACUAUGCUUAAGGGAUAUGCUCUAUAGGAAAGAAGUUUCCACAGCUUCCAACCACAUACACCAUCUUCUCCUUCCCCAAAGCUUAAGCCUUUCCCUCUUUUCCUGGCCUUUGAACACCUGCCCCCCAGAAAGCCAGAUUCCUAGGUUCUCCACAGCUCUGCCUCUUUAUGAGGCUUUUACACAAUAGGAUUCCCAUUUAGGACUCCAGGAGACACCCUCUGUUCACCCUCAGGGCUUUCAUGAACCAGCAAGAGGCGGGAGAGGAAAACGCAGCACCCACCCAAGUGCUCUACCAGUAGAGUUCCCGUGCCUGUGGACCACCACAAUGGAGCUACCACACACCCCACUUCACCCCUCAAACUCCCCACUCACUGUAUAGCCACAGCUCCUUGCCUAUCAGCUCUCUCUGGGUCUGCAGCAGGCUCUGCAGCCUCCGGUCCGUGCGCAUGUGCUCCACUCGCCCAGCCCUGUAAAAUAAGAUUGCAACAGACAUCCCAGGACCCAUGGGCUUUAAAAUGGAGGCUUGGAACAAGUCUGGCACCUUAACUUCCAAGUAACAAGCUCUUCAUUGAGCAGGAACUGAACAGCCAAGAGCACCUUCCUGAAGAGCAUCAUCAAGAAACUGGCUGAAACAAGCAGUCUUGCAAAUCUCUCCCAGAGCCUGUGGAUGCUGCUAUUGCAAACAGGGUCACUGUCUGCAAGGCCCCAGCCCGGAGCAAUGCACACCCCAGGUCAAACACAUUUCCCAAGCAGAGCCUGGGUGGAAGACUGGGAUGGAACCGCUACACAGCUAGAGCCAGAAAGGAGAGGGCAGAGGGGAGUCCAGGAGGUGAUAAUAAGCCCACACAGCCUACGUGGCCAGCAGCCCCAGGUCACCUCUUCCUAUUUCCCACUUCAAAGGAGUGGGUCAAAGACAAGUUCUGAGCAGUGCAGCCCCCAGUGGGGGCGACCCCAGCCCCACAACUCCCCCUUUCCAGGGCUAUCUCCAUCGGGUCACCCACCAGCCAAUUUUGCGGUGAUGCUCCCAUGGUCAGGCUGAGCCAGUAGCAAGGAGACAUCUCAGCUCUAAACCACCACCUUCAGCAAGUGCAGUAGCUCCUUCUGCUGUUUUGCAAGGCCUGGGCUGCCCUCAGGUGGCAAAAUGCAGAGAGCUCCACAUCUCACUCCAGAGAUAUAGCCACAGCAGCUAUUGCCCCUGACAUCUAACACAGGCUUGUGCUCAGUACAUACCCACACUCCCAUCACAGUCCAUGCAAGAGAAGGGCCUGACUAGAUAAGGCCAGAAGCUGCACAAAAACAUCUAAAUUAAGAUUUUUUAAGUCUCAUUUCUGAAGAUUCUCAGCUCUUAGAAAAAUACAUUUUCUUUCUCAAAAAUGCAUCUGGCUACAAUUCAGUUUGGCUUUAUUGUCCUACAACCCAGCAGGUAACUACUGACAGCAAUCUUUGCUGUCCGUGCAUUCAGAGAGGACAAAACCUUGGACACAAGGAGUUAAAGGCAAGCAAGGCACCAAGGACCAGAGCUAUUAUUUCUGUUGCAGAGGAAGAGAGAUUCCUGUAUUGGUUUCCUCUUUUCCUUCCACUCACUUCACUUUUAAAGCAAGUUUGCCAAAGGCUUAGAAACAAAAAAAGUAAAAAAGUGACAGUGCUCAGCUUUUGUUUCUUCCUUUACCAAAACAGUGGUCAGGCAGGUGCAAGAGGACAAGGUUUAACAGCUAGAGAAGUUGAGCAGUCAAAACCAGCCACUUGCUUCAUGCUCAUCCUCUUGCAGGACUCUAAGAAUGCAACCUUUUAAAAAAUUUCUUUAUUUUUAAUUAAGAUGAAUACCAUGAAAAUGCCUGUUUUUGUGCAUUUCAAUUUAAUUCUAGUUUCUCACAAAGUCAACCUUUCCUACUAACGGAUUGUACUGAAGUAGGACACUCUGUUUUCUGGUAUAAUUCACUUUCCAUUUUCUACUUAGUAACAGAAUAAAACAAUUCAAAAUUGUGAGGAAAUGUACUGCAGCUUAAAUAAGGGUAUGCAAUUAGAGCAUCUUCUCCAUUACAAAAAAUUCUAAUCAACCAGUAGGAAUCAACCAGUCCACAAAGAGAUAACUCAGACUUGCCAAUGCAAACCAAGAUUGAUUUCAGUUAUUUAAAUCAGUUUCAUACCUGUCAAUAUAAAUCUUUAUGAAAGCAGUGAUUUUGAAUCAAACCACUUUGGAGACAGCACUACAACACUUGAAAUGCCCAGUCAUUACAGCAGGAAGGAGACGAAUAUAGAUCACAGGCAGGGAAGACCAGAGAGAUGACAGCUGCUACUUGCUUAAAUUCCUGGAAGAAGUGCAAUUUCACAACACACAGGGCAAGGGCAGACUUGUGACAAGAGAGAAGCAACAACCUCCUGCCAUUCCAAAACAAGCUACAGGAAAAUCACGGCUCUUUUCCUGGGUUCCCGACAUUUCUGUGAACAAAGCAGCAGCUCAGCAGACUUCAGGGCAUCACUAACCAAGGAGGUGCUGCUGGGCUUCCAGUUGUGUGCUCAGCUCUGGGGCAAAUGGCACUGAGCAAAUUCAGAGCAGCAGUACAGCAUAGGGAGGGUCAGAGCACAGACUGACCAAGAGGAGCAAAGAGGUAAGCUGGCCAGGCAGCAGCUAGCACACCCACAGAAGAAAUGCAGGUUAGCAACAGCAGGAUGUUAGCAACAUGUAACAAGUUCCCAGAGGAACAACAUGCGAUAAGACUUCAAUCAAUCAUCCAGGUAAGGACCUGGCAAAACAUCAGCAAUUGUCUCUAAGUCAGCACCAAAUCUGUAUCUGGCCUCUAGGGAUGUCAGAAUGGAGGCAGAAGAAAAAUAAUUGUCUCCAGUUUUUGUGGAUUUCUGCAAAUGAUGCACAGAAUGCAAAGAACACCAUGUCAGGGCUGUAUGACGCUACAGUGGAAAGGAGGGGACAGAAAGCUCUGGCUGCAGCAACAGGACUUGGGAUCCUGUGGGACACAUAAAUACAACAAAGAUGCCCUGAACUGGGAUGAUCCUUAUGAGGAUAUAAAGAAAUGAACACUACUAACCUGUAGAAAGCAGCUGGUUCUGCAUUGACACGAAUCUGCAUGUGCUUGAACCUGGAUAACCAAGAAAAACAUAAUAAUGGUACACAAAUGCUCAGUGAAUUAUGUAGCCAAAACCCCUGCUAGAGGAAACUCAUCUUACAUCUGUCAGAGCACUGAUCUGAGGCAGUUCCUGACAGAAGCACUCAAUAGGCUCAAAAAGGCACCAGAGACCAAGGCUUAGCACAUGGUGACAUCAUUCUGGACCAGCUCAAUGGUGCAUUUGUUUGGUAUCCUGCUCUCUGCUCACAACUUCUUAGCCCUUGGUCCCCCUGUUUGCUGCUAGUCCAGCAUCUCGACCACACAGAAUCACCACAACUAACUGCCCUGGUCUAGGCUCCCUGUGCCACACCAGCUUCUGCUGCUGUCCUUGAAUACCCUGAGCCCCGGGGAAAGCUGCAACGCCCCUGCCACACACCCAGCCAACCCUGCAAAGACAAGGGGAGUAGAUGAGUUAGAAAGCAUAUGGAAAGACUGUGAUGUUUUGGGAACUUAAUGAAAGUGAUGGUGAAGCAAAAACCUGAUUUCUGUCAGUAGAUGCAGUUAGCUGAACUUGCAUCUGCACCCAGUGAAGCUCCACAUGCAGUUUUCUUCAACACACCCAUAGCAGAGACAUCAGCAAUGACCAGGCAAACAGCCUGAAGACUGAGCUGGGAGACUGAACCAAGGGCACUGCCUGCCAUGACAAAGGGCACUGUCCAUCAGUACACGGACUUUGGAGCAUGAUUGCACAGGUAGGUUUCUCUGAGUGGGGGGAAAAGUCACAGACAAGAGAAGCAGCUGCAUACAUAGCACUGAAUGGGGACAAAAAUGUAGCUUUCACAGGAGUUGCCAAGAAACAGUGAAAACACUGCUCAGCUGCGACUCACCUGAAAUCGCCCUCCAGUUUUUCCUGCUGCACAAGUUUAGACACAAUUGGGCUCAUCAAUAGUUUGUUUGCAAUUGUCCCAAUGACAAAAUAUCCAAAGAUGUUCACUGGGCCUAGCCAGCCUGUGCUACAGAGAAGGAGAAAGAGAGGUCAGCUAACAAUCCAAGCAAAAGGACAUUCCUGCAUCAUUGGUCUCAAGAAAUCAGAGACCUCAGCUGUGACCUCUCUUGGCUUUCACAGAGGUUUGGGAGCCAACACUGCACACCCCAGUAUCCCCAAGGCAGAAUUCCCAUUGGAGUACAGAGACCACUCACCUGUGCGUACAAACAUCCACCUGGGGAGUUGUAACAUGGGUGCCAGGCUUCAAAAAAGAGCAUAGGAUAGAGACAUGAAAGCAUGGCCAGGAUGCACCCUUACCUGUGAAAGCACUGGUGUGUGUAGUAGGCCAGCGUGAAAGGUGAGAUGACGAGCUUGCUGGCCAUGGAGCUGAGCUGCCUGCAGAACCUCUCCACAUCCUGGCUGAUGCGCUGGUCCCUGCUCAACACAAAGAGCCAUGGACACUGUUAAAGCCUAGAUGCAAGAACCAGUACUAAACCCCUAAAAGGGAACAAGCCAGACUGUUUCACUGCGGGAACUUAGGACAGGGUGAAGUGAACAACCCUGCCUGGGAGGGACCUGCAGCUGUGACUUCUGCUCCCCCAUAGGAGACAAUUUCCAUGGCCCAGCAGGACCAAACUAAGAGAGCCUCCUGUCACCCAGGAAGAACAGCUCUUGCUGUUACUCUCACCCUGUUCCUCGUAUUAAUCCUUUGUUUCACUUUCAACAACAUUGCUCAACUCUGUGCUAAAGGUCUCUGCAUUCUUGUCCUUUACUCCUCUCCUGGAACAACCCCCAAACUACAAAACACUGCUGACUGUCCCCCAGACCUUCAGUACUGGUCCUGCAUCUCAGGUAUCAGAGCCAUCAGGACUGGCUACGGCACAGGCCAGGCCUUUGUCAGCUGUUGCAUAUUUGCAAACACUUCCAUCAAAGCCACACUUCCACAGUAGCUGGUCCCUUUGCUGCAAGGAAGAAAGUGCUUCCACUUGCCCUAGCUCCCAAGAGCAGGCAGCAGUACACCAACCCUUCUCACCUCAUUGGCAGCAGGCACACGGGUGACAGACCUUCGAGUCCCACCUAUUGCACUGCUGAGCAGGAGUUGCACUUGGGGUAACUAGAAGAAUUUCAACAUAUUAACUCCCUCAGCACCUCAUCUGCCCAGAGUACACGGACAAGGACGUCAGCCUGCUGUGCUAUGCCCAAGUGGAAAGGACAUGACUGUGAAUGUUGGAGACCAGAAUAAAGAGCAAGGCUGGACCUCUAGUUAUUCUCAGUGCAGAUACAACUACAAUGACUUUCAUCUCAAAUCUUUUGCAGCCCUGGAACAGCAGUGGAUGUAGGUUUGGGGCAGCUCUCACCCUGACCGACCUUACAGUCACAAUUUUUUCUUUCUCCUCAGACUGCAAUUGUUCCCAUAAAGUUGUAAUUUAAGCUGUGCUACAGACUCAUGGGAGGCUAUUGCUUUUUACGAGCUAUUAAGCAACAUGUAAUGAAAACACAUAAACAUCAAUUCAAAUGCCCUGUUAGGUGCCGCAAGUGUUUGUAUGUCACUUAGAACGCACUCUUCAUUCCUUUGAGAUGGAUGACUCCAUGCAUCUAACACUCAGCUUGGUUUGCACUGCAUAAUGGGAGGUCUCUUCAUCCCUCUAUUUCAUUCUCUCUAAGGUGCAGAGAAAAAAUUCUCAUCAAGAAAUUGCAAGCUGAAGAGAAUUUUUCCAGUGACACCAAAAAGACACUAAACAAUAAGACUGGAUGUUGGAGCAGAAGCAAGGUGUUAAUGAGAAAUACUCCGCAGUAAUCUCACACAUUUGGUCUGCUAAGGUCAA